rnacentral:lncRNA from 1 species
AUGCAUAUGCCACAAGCAUAUUUGCUACUCAAGGAUAUUUGCUCAAGGAUAUUUAAGACAAAAUCCUAACCCUAACUUCUGUCAAGCAUAUUUGCUACUAUCAAGCAUAUUUGUCACAUUUGAUAUUUGUACUCAAGGAUAUUUGCUCAAGGAUAUUUAAGACAAAGUCCUAACCCUAACUUCUAUCAAGCAUGUUUCUAACCUAAUUUGAACCCUAACCCUAACAAUAUGAAUUUCUAACCUAAUUUUACCAUAACCCUAACCCUAAUCCCUAAUUGCUAACAAUAUGAAUUUGUAACCUAAUUUUACCCUAACCCUAACCCUAAUCCCUAAUUGCAGCAAAACUAAGAAUUUGUAACCUAAUUUUACCCUAACCCUAAUCCCUAAUUGCAGCAAAAUUUAACCUAACAGUAUGAAUUUUACCCUAACAGUAAACAGUAAACUUAAAAAAAAAACUAGCUAGCACUGACCUCGUCGCCGG